GACGAACGUUGGCGGCGUGCUUAAUACAUGCAAGUCAACUGAAGCAGUGGUAGCAAUAUCGCUGUGGAGGUGGCGCACGGGUGAGUAACACGUAGGUAAUCUGCCUUCAGGUCUGGCAUAACUCCGGGAAACCGGGGCUAAUAGCAGAUGAUGCAGCGGCUCGACAUCGAGACAGUUGUUAAAGCUAUGGCGCCUGAAGAUGAGCCUGCGUCUGAUUAGCUAGUUGGCGGGGUAACGGCCCACCAAGGCAACGAUCAGUAGCUGGUCUGAGAGGAUGAUCAGCCACACUGGAACUGAGACACGGUCCAGACUCCUACGGGAGGCAGCAGUAAGGAAGAUUGCUCAAUGGGAGAAAUCCUGAAGCAGCAACGCCGCGUGAGGGACGAAGGGCUUUUGCUUGUAAACCUCUGUAGUGAGAGAAAAAAAUCCCAAUCUUUGGGACAUGAUGGUAUCUCAAAAGUAAGCCCCGGCUAACUACGUG
rnacentral:rRNA from 1 species